CUGGCGGCAUGCCUUACACAUGCAAGUCGAACGGCAGCACGGGAGCAAUCCUGGUGGCGAGUGGCGAACGGGUGAGUAAUAUAUCGGAACGUGCCCGGUCGUGGGGGAUAACGUAGCGAAAGCUACGCUAAUACCGCAUACGAUCUACGGAUGAAAAGCGGGGGAUCGCAAGACCUCGCGCGAUUGGAGCGGCCGAUAUCAGAUUAGGUAGUUGGUGAGGUAAAGGCUCACCAAGCCGACGAUCUGUAGCUGGGUCUGAGAGGACGACCAGCCACACUGGGACUGAGACACGGCCCAGACUCCUACGGGAGGCAGCAGUGGGAAUUUGGACAAUGGGCGCAAGCCUGAUCCAGCAAUGCCGCGUGCAGGAUGAAGGCCUUCGGGUUGUAAACUGCUUUGUACGGAACGAAACGGUGAGCUCUAAUACAGUUUGCUAAUGACGGUACCGUAAGAAUAAGCACCGGCUAACUACGUG
rnacentral:rRNA from 1 species